CGGAGGACAAGCAAAGAUAUCAGCUGCAAACACAAAUAAUAACCACCAGAACCAGCUAAAACUUGUGGAAUCGUGGACCCAACAACACUCACUUCUUCACUAACGAGUGUCCAGUGUUUGGAGAACCAACGAUCCUUGUUGUACUGCAGGGUUGGACCUGGAUUGAGAUAGCGUUCCAGGAAAGCCUAGAGAAAAGCAGGCAGAGAAUAGAGGGGUGAGAUCUGGAGCCAGCCUGGAAACGUCUUAGCUUUCAAAUGCUGGAAGUGAAAGGUUUCUCAAGGACAAGACUGGGAUGACUGUUGCUGACACAGAGGUUGAUGGAAUUGGCCCCAGUUUUGGAUUUUGCUCAUAUAACAUUCCUGCUACUAAAUUAGGUUUGUAUGGAAGAGCAAGUGAUGUGCUAUCAAUUAUAAUUUCAGCUGACCUCAAAGGGCCCUUAUAACA